rnacentral:rRNA from 1 species
CACCAGCGCCACAAGUGGGGACCGCUAUUAUUGGGCCUAAAGCGUCCGUAGCCGGGUUGGAAAAUCCCUCGUGAAAUGGUGAGGCCUAACUUCACCGCGUGCGGAGGACACUACCAACCUUGAGACCGGGAGGAGUCAGAGGUAUUGAUGGGGUAGCGGUAAAAUGCAAUAAUCCCAUCAAGACAACCUGUGGCGAAGGCGUCUGACCAGAACGGGUCUGACGGUGAGGGACGAAAGCUGGGGGA